GAUGAACGCUGGCGGCGUGCUUAACACAUGCAAGUCGAACGAUGAAGCCCAGCUUGCUGGGUGGAUUAGUGGCGAACGGGUGAGUAACACGUGAGUAACCUGCCCUUAACUCUGGGAUAAGCCUGGGAAACUGGGUCUAAUACCGGAUAGGAGCGUCCACCGCAUGGUGGGUGUUGGAAAGAUUUAUCGGUUUUGGAUGGACUCGCGGCCUAUCAGCUUGUUGGUGAGGUAAUGGCUCACCAAGGCGACGACGGGUAGCCGGCCUGAGAGGGCGACCGGCCACACUGGGACUGAGAGACGGCCCAGACUCCUACGGGAGGCAGCAGUGGGGAAUAUUGCACAAUGGGCGAAAGCCUGAUGCAGCGACGCCGCGUGAGGGAUGACGGCCUUCGGGUUGUAAACCUCUUUCAGUAGGGAAGAAGCGAAAGUGACGGUACCUGCAGAAGAAGCACCGGCUAACUACGUG
rnacentral:rRNA from 1 species